CUAGAAUGAUGCAUCUUAGCCAAAGCAGACAAUGAUGUGCUCCUUGAGGUAUCCUGUUUUAAGCUUGUAAUAAUUGCUACUGUGGAGGCACUUGGUGAUCUUCCUAUGUAGUUGAUCAAGCAUUAAGCUGGGUACCUUUUGUAGAAGCGCAUCUCUCUAGUGAUAACACAGAGAUUGGUUUCUUGUCUGACCAGA